CUGGGCUGGGUCAGUGUUCGAGUCUACACAUGCACUAACAGAUGUUCUUGUUAUUUCCAGACUUACCAAGCCUAGCUCACUCUCAGUUUAUUGCUCUGUGAAAGAAAGGUAAAAGGAAGAAAAAGGUGAUGGAGAAAAAGAAGGGCUUGCAAAGGAAGAGAAAGACGAAGAAAGCAGAGGCCAUGGCCAGAGGCUCUCUUCUGCUGAGCAAUGAAGAUAUGCCCUUCUUCUCCCCCACUUGUCUGGAUGGCCCAAGAAGACGCAGUCUGUUACUUCUCCCCUUGGCCUCACCUUCAGGACCAGGACGGAGAAAUUGGACUCAAUACCUCUUCUGUAGUCUUAGCUCUGGCGUCCAUCAGCAGCUACCAGGCGAAGUCAGAAGAAGACAUUGAAACCCCUGGAGUUGGAGGAUUUGAGCUGCCUGUUAUGUAUUCCGAACUCAGGUCAUCUGAAAGAGGAGCGAAUGCUCUUAACCACUGAACAAUCUCUCCAGCCCCCUGUGCUACUUAGCAAGACAGUGUUCUGUGAUGUUUUGUUUGUGUAAUCUGACAUGAAUUUGAGUGUCAGAUUAAGUACAUUUCUCUAUGGCCUGACAAAAUUAGAUGAGAAAUGUUAUAG